GAUGAACGCUGGCGGCGUGCUUAACACAUGCAAGUCGAACGGUAAAGGCGGAGCUUGCUCUGCUGGAUCAGUGGCGAACGGGUGAGUAACACGUGAGCAAUCUGCCCCUGACUCUGGGAUAAGCGCUGGAAACGGCGUCUAAUACUGGAUACGAGCUGCGAAGGCAUCUUCAGCAGCUGGAAAGAACUUCGGUCAGGGAUGAGCUCGCGGCCUAUCAGCUUGUUGGUGAGGUAACGGCUCACCAAGGCGUCGACGGGUAGCCGGCCUGAGAGGGUGACCGGCCACACUGGGACUGAGACACGGCCCAGACUCCUACGGGAGGCAGCAGUGGGGAAUAUUGCACAAUGGGCGAAAGCCUGAUGCAGCAACGCCGCGUGAGGGACGACGGCCUUCGGGUUGUAAACCUCUUUUAGCAGGGAAGAAGCGAAAGUGACGGUACCUGCAGAAAAAGCGCCGGCUAACUACGUG
rnacentral:rRNA from 1 species